rnacentral:rRNA from 1 species
CGAGGAAACUUGUGCUAAUACCUCAUAAGUCUUUACGGAGAAAGCUUUAUGCGCCAAUGGAUGGGCCCGCACUUGAUUAGUUAGUUGGUAAGGUAAUGGCUUACCAAGACUUUGAUCAAUAGCUGAUUUGAGAGGAUGAUCAGCCACAUUGGGACUGAGACACGGCCCAAACUCCUACGGGAGGCAGCAGUAGGGAAUCUUGCACAAUGGAGGAAACUCUGAUGCAGCGAUGCCGCGUGAGUGAAGAAGGCCCUUGGGUUGUAAAGCUCUUUCGUCGGGGAAGAAAAUGACUGUACCCGAAUAAGAAGGUCCGGCUAACUUCGUGCCAGCAGCCGCGGUAAUACGAAGGGACCUAGCGUAGUUCGGAAUUACUGGGCUUAAAGAGUUCGUAGGUGGUUAAAAAAGUUGGUGGUGAAAUCCCAGAGCUUAACUCUGGAACUGCCAUCAAAACUUUUUAGCUAGAGUAUGAUAGAGGAAAGCAGAAUUUCUAGUGUAGAGGUGAAAUUCGUAGAUAUUAGAAAGAAUACCAAUUGCGAAGGCAGCUUUCUGGAUCAUUACUGACACUGAGGAACGAAAGCAUGGGUAGCGAAGAGGAUUAGAUACCCUCGUAGUCCAUGCCGUAAACGAUGUGUGUUAGAUGUUGGAAAUUUAUUUUCAGUAUCGCAGCGAAAGCGUUAAACACACCGCCUGGGGAGUACGACCGCAAGGUUAAAACUCAAAUGAAUUGACGGGGACCCGCACAAGUAGUGGAGCAUGUGGUUUAAUUCGAAGAUACGCGCAGAACCUUACCAACACUUGACAUGUUUGUCGCGACUUUAAGAGAUUAAAGUCUUCGGUUCGGCCGGACAAAACACAGGUGCUGCAUGGCUGUCGUCAGCUCGUGUCGUGAGAUGUUGGGUU